rnacentral:lncRNA from 1 species
UUCAUUUCAUUCAUGCAUCAUAUUUAGCAAUACUAAGAACAUGAUUGCGGUCGACCAUUCCCUAAUCAAUCGCAAAAACUUGCAAGUCAUGAGCUAUCCCCAUAACCGGAUAGCUGCUUCUGCCAUCCGGUGCUCGAUAGCCGGGCUCCUUGUUUACAGCAUAUGAAGCACAGGACAAGUUACUGCAGCAAAAGAAAGAGUGGCCAAUUUUUGAGGUAUAUAACUGCAAAUUUUUGUCCCCAGACAUCCUUGUGAUUGAUUAACAACUUUGUUUCCAGUAGAGAUUGUGGCAGGGUAUUGUGAUGAUCGAACUGAACACUUGCAGAACAUCAAGUAACCUGAACAACAACUUUACAGUGUUUACAAAUAGCAAAUGCUGCAAUAAAAGCGACGCCUAACCAUGAGCUAUGGGCGCGCAGCAGCGAGCUCAGUGCUUCAUAAGGCUAAAACAAAAAAUUAACAUGACAAGGCACCACAAGCAUAUGGCAUCUUAAACUGGUAGUAAGCAUAGCAGCCCACAACUAAUCCAAUAUCGAGUGAGCAGAAACAAGCACAGUGCUUUGGGCCUAACACAUUGAGCCUAGCAUCAAGAUACAUCAUCAUCAUCAUCAUCACCAUCAUCAUCUGACAUCCGUGCUUUGGGCCUAACACAUUGAGCCUAGCAUCAAGAUACAUCAUCAUCAUCAUCAUCAUCACCGUCAUCAUCUGACAUCCAAACCUGCCUCCGUUGUCUUCCUUGGUUCUGUUGAGAAGUUGUAUCUACCACAUCGGAUCCACCAUCAUUGUUAACUUCAUCGUCAUUUGCUCCAUCAAGCGUGCCAGUGGACGUUGAAUUGCUUAAGGACUCUCCCCAUGGGACCACCCCACUUCUCCUUCGGCCCCUCGAUGAACCCCUCAAAGAGCUUGAAAUGAAAGACCGUGGCAGAGAUGAUCGACCGGUGUCGUUUCCUCCUUCUCGAUGCACAUGUACUACCAAAAACAUAGUGACCGAGGGAAAUAUGAACAUGCUUCCAUUGGUCUCUUCAUCGUCCUCAUUGAUGUUGACCUCAUCUUCCUCUCUGGUUACAGCUGAGCGAAACAUGCUGAAUAGGUCACCAAGGUCCCGUUGCCGUUCCAUCCUUCUCCAGUCUUGCUGUCGCUCAGGGUCUGCCUCUGAUGGCCGCACGGAUGGAUGCUCUUUCCUUGCAUGCUUCCUUAGCUCCCCAUAAAUGCCACUAAAUGCACAUGACUCCGUGGAGCAGCUACGAGUUUUAGCAUUCAUAUAUCUACGAGCAGGCUCCACCACUGUCCAGCCAGUAACUGAACCUCGGCAAAGAGGGCAUGAGAGCUUGGUUGGUUGCUGUGUGUCACCAUUAUCCUGUGGUGGCUUGGAUCCAGAAAAAGCCUUGCGGUACUGAUCCAGACAGUUAGAAUGACGGUAGCUAGUGUCACACAUGAAUGGACGACAACCCUUGUCGUGUGAGGAGCAUAGGAGGAGAACAGCAUUGUGAGGGUGUUCCAUGCACACAGGGCAUCGAACCUCCUCCCAUUCUUUGAUGUCCUUGGCUGAUUCUGCAGACUCAGGUUGGUUAUGUGAGGAAGAACUAGAUGGAAAAGGUGAUGCACGAGAUCGCCGGUCAAAGGACUGAGACCAUGACCUCCUUUGCUUAGGCAUAUUAGCUAGUUUAAGAUGAAUGAAACCACCCAAAAAUCUUCUUAGUAUGAUGAGGAAUAACGCACCGGAAGAAUUCUCGGGACAGUCAC